rnacentral:rRNA from 1 species
AGUCGAGCGGACAGAAGGGAGCUUGCUCCCGGAUGUUAGCGGCGGACGGGUGAGUAACACGUGGGUAACCUGCCUGUAAGACUGGGAUAACUCCGGGAAACCGGAGCUAAUACCGGAUAGUUCCUUGAACCGCAUGGUUCAAGGAUGAAAGACGGUUUCGGCUGUCACUUACAGAUGGACCCGCGGCGCAUUAGCUAGUUGGUGAGGUAACGGCUCACCAAGGCGACGAUGCGUAGCCGACCUGAGAGGGUGAUCGGCCACACUGGGACUGAGACACGGCCCAGACUCCUACGGGAGGCAGCAGUAGGGAAUCUUCCGCAAUGGACGAAAGUCUGACGGAGCAACGCCGCGUGAGUGAUGAAGGUUUUCGGAUCGUAAAGCUCUGUUGUUAGGGAAGAACAAGUGCAAGAGUAACUGCUUGCACCUUGACGGUACCUAACCAGAAAGCCACGGCUAACUACGUGCCAGCAGCCGCGGUAAUACGUAGGUGGCAAGCGUUGUCCGGAAUUAUUGGGCGUAAAGGGCUCGCAGGCGGUUUCUUAAGUCUGAUGUGAAAGCCCCCGGCUCAAACCGGGGAGGGUCAUUGGAAACUGGGAAACUUGAGUGCAGAAGAGGAGAGUGGAAUUCCACGUGUAGCGGUGAAAUGCGUAGAGAUGUGGAGGAACACCAGUGGCGAAGGCGACUCUCUGGUCUGUAACUGACGCUGAGGAGCGAAAGCGUGGGGAGCGAACAGGAUUAGAUACCCUGGUAGUCCACGCCGUAAACGAUGAGUGCUAAGUGUUAGGGGGUUUCCGCCCCUUAGUGCUGCAGCUAACGCAUUAAGC